UGGGGAAUUUUGCACAAUGGGGGAAACCCUGAUGCAGCGACGCCGCGUGAUUAGAAGGCCUUCGGGUUGUAAAAAUCUUUUCUAUGGGAAGAAAAUGACAGUACCAUAGGAAUAAGGACCGGCUAAUUACGUGCCAGCAGCCGCGGUAAUACGUAAGGUCCGAGCGUUGUCCGGAAUCAUUGGGCGUAAAGGGUACGUAGGCGGGUAAGCAAGUUAGAAGUGAAAUCCUAUAGCUCAACUAUAGUAAGCUUUUAAAACUGCUCAUCUUGAGGUAUGGAAGGGAAAGUGGAAUUCCUAGUGUAGCGGUGAAAUGCGCAGAUAUUAGGAGGAAUACCGGUGGCGAAGGCGACUUUCUGGCCAUAACCUGACGCUGAGGUACGAAAGCGUGGGUAGCAAACAGG
rnacentral:rRNA from 1 species